rnacentral:tRNA from 1 species
GCCUUCGUGGUGUAGUGGUCAGCACGCUCGGCUCGUAAACCAGAGGUCUGUUGUUCGAUUCCCGGCGAAGGCG